rnacentral:pre_miRNA from 1 species
CACGGACUUUAGCUGAGGUACACAGGACGAGCGCUGACAGCGCUCGUCCUGUGUACCUUAGCUAAAGUCCGUGU